AAGCUCGUAGUUGAAUUUCGGGAUCAGACUGUCGGUCGUGCCUCGGUACGCACUGGCAUUAUUGGUUCCUACCUUCUGAAGAACCGCGAUGUCAUUAAUUUGGUGUCGUGGGGAAUCAGGACUGUUACUUUGAAAAAAUUAGAGUGUUUAAAGCAGGCUUACGCUUGAAUACAUUAGCAUGGAAUAAUGAAAUAGGACGUUUGAUUCUACUUUGUUGGUUUCUAGGAUCGACGUAAUGAUUAAUAGGGAUAGUUGGG
rnacentral:rRNA from 1 species